ACAUGCCUACAAUAUAACAUUAAUGCACUAGAUCCCAUUUGAACUCCAUAGUUAAGUGCGUCUGGGAUAGAGUAUUAUUGGUAUGUGUGACCACUGAGGAAUUCUUAGUGUUUUACAUGCC
rnacentral:rRNA from 1 species